rnacentral:rRNA from 1 species
UACGGGGGGAGCAAGCGUUGUUCGGAUUUACUGGGCGUAAAGGGCGCGUAGGCGGCCUCUGCAAGUCGACUGUGAAAUCUCCGGGCUUAACCCGGAAAGGUCAGCCGAUACUGCGGGGCUAGAGUGCAGAAGGGGCAACUGGAAUUCUCGGUGUAGCGGUGAAAUGCGUAGAUAUCGAGAGGAACACCUGCGGCGAAGGCGGGUUGCUGGGCUGACACUGACGCUGAUGCGCGAAAGCUAGGGGAGCGAACGGG